rnacentral:misc_RNA from 1 species
GAUAUAUUGUCAAAAUAAGCGUAUAUUUGUCUUUUGGCACUUUGUAUGACGUCAUCAGCGUACUCUGAGAGGCAAAAUGGCGGAUACGUUUGCAAAGUACCACUGUAACUACUGUGAGGAGGAUGUCAACGGACUGAGGGUACGCUGUCUGGAGUGCGAAGACUUCGAUCUUUGUUUACAGUGUUUUUCGUGUGGUGCUGAGAUUGGCAAGCACAGAAGAAAUCACUGUUAUCAAUUUAUGGCCGGUGUUUUCCAGGAUACAGGAAACUUUAGCAUUUUCCCUGGUCAAGGCCAUUGGACGGCACGAGAAGAAGUCAGAUUAUUGGACGCCAUUGAACAGUAUGGAUAUGGGAAUUGGGAAGAUAUUGCACGACAUAUUGAGACUCGAACACCUGAAGAUGCUAGAAACAAAUAUAUCAGCAGUUACAUAGAUGGCAGCAUUGGGCGAGCUUCAUGGAAACCAGCGUUGGAGCGGUUGCAGCUGCCAAUAGAACACACAAAUACUGAUACAGGACCAUUGUCACCUACUCUGGGGUCAUCCCUACCCACACAACCUCUAUCCACAGAAGAAAAUACUAUCCUUGGAUACAUGCCUCACAGAGAUGACUUUGAAAGGGAGUGGGACAAUGAUGCAGAAGCAACUAUAGCGCCAUUAUUUAUUCAUCCUGUUGAAGAUGAGGAUAUUGAUAUGGCUCUCAAACUUGCCCAGGUGGAUAUGUAUAUGCGCCGACUUCGUGAACGUUCUCGGAGAAAACGCGUUGUAAGAGAUUUCCAAAUAGUUCCACAGUUCUUUAAAAAGGAGAAAGAAAAAGCACAAGUUCCGCCUAAAAAGAAGAGUAAAGAUGACAGAGAGGCCGUAUCAGAAAAAUUAAGAACCGUCAGUCAGUUUCAAACCGCCAGUGAACACAACAAUCUAUUAUCGUCAAUGGUACGGGAAAGAGAACUCAGAACAAGAAUCAGAGAGUUAUUAAGGUAUCGGCGAAAUGGAAUUAGACACGUGGAAGAAUGUCACGAAUUUGAAGUAGCUAGAUCACGAAGGGAUAAAAAGAAAGAAAAUAAAAAGAAAUCACCGAGUAUUCACAACUUUGCCUUUCAUGCAGGCCAGCCUGCCUCAGACUCCAACGACUCAAAUGGACCUGUCCGUAAAGUCAAAAGAAAACGACGCAAGAAGUCCGAAAUGUUUAGCAGAAAAAAAAUUCACGCCUCUAGAUACUGGCGUUGGAAGAUGGCUCAGCGGGAACUUGAGCGGCAGCGGCUUGAGCGGGAACAGCGACAGCAUCACGAACUGGGGGGGCGGGAGCAACACGCAACAGACACAGCAGGGGGGGGCAGCCGGGGGGAAUGAUGACCCAGUACCCAUCUCUUCGUUGCCAGGAUACCAUCUUCUGUCUCAGAGAGAAAGGAAGCUGUGUGCCUCCUCGAAUAUCAAGCCAUCCCAGUACAUUGCUUACAAGGCAGUUUUACUAAAGG